GAGGAAGUAAAAGUCGUAACAAGGUCUCCGUUGGUGAACCAGCGGAGGGAUCAUUACAGAGUUAUUUUAACUCCAAACCUAUGUGAACUUAUUUUUGUUGCCUCGGCGAGGGAACUUACCUGGUACUUACCCUGUAAGAACUCAGGAGGCGAGCUACCCUGUAGCAUGCCGCUGGCAAACUCGCCGAAGGACUAUUCGAAUUCUUGUUUUAGUGGCACAUCUGAACUGUUUAUACUUAAUAAGUUAAAACUUUCAACAACGGAUCUCUUGGUUCUGGCAUCGAUGAAGAACGCAGCGAAAUGCGAUAAGUAAUGUGAAUUGCAGAAUUCAGUGAAUCAUCGAAUCUUUGAACGCACAUUGCGCCCAUUAGUAUUCUAGUGGGCAUGCCUGUUCGAGCGUCAUUUCGACCAUCAAGCUUUAUCUGCUUGGAGUUGGGAAUUUACUCAUAAGUAAUUCCUUAAAUCUAUCGGCGGAGUUGCGAUAAUCCCAAGCGUAGUAAUUAUUUCUCGCUUUAGGUGUGUUAGCGCUGACAUUUAGCCGUUAAACCC
rnacentral:rRNA from 1 species